CUAGACCUAGCUGCUGUUGAGGCUCCAUCUACAAAUGGAUAAUUUUUUAGUCUCAACCUAGUUUACUAAAAAAAGGAGCAAUAUCAACCUUCUUUUCUUAAUAUAAGAUAUAAAGAAGGUUGAUAUUGCUCCUUUUUUUAUAUUAUAAGAAUAAAGAAAAAAAAGAUUUUAAAUAAUAAAAUACUAAAAAACAUUUUCUUUUAGUAUCAUAUUUUCCUUAUCUAGUAAGGUUAUCUACUAUUAUUUUUUUUAUAAAUAUAAAUAUAAAUAAGGAAGUUUUUACCUAGUUUUUUUUU
rnacentral:misc_RNA from 1 species